CGUGGGAACGUGCCCUUUUCUACGGAAUAGCCUCUGGAAACGGAGAGUAAUACCGUAUACGCCCUUUGGGGGAAAGAUUUAUCGGAGAAGGAUCGGCCCGCGUUAGAUUAGGUAGUUGGUGGGGUAACGGCCUACCAAGCCUACGAUCUAUAGCUGGUUUUAGAGGAUGAUCAGCAACACUGGGACUGAGACACGGCCCAGACUCCUACGGGAGGCAGCAGUGGGGAAUCUUAGACAAUGGGGGCAACCCUGAUCUAGCCAUGCCGCGUGAGUGAUGAAGGCCUUAGGGUCGUAAAGCUCUUUCGCCUGUGAUGAUAAUGACAGUAGCAGGUAAAGAAACCCCGGCUAACUCCGUGCCAGCAGCCGCGGUAAUACGGAGGGGGUUAGCGUUGUUCGGAAUUACUGGGCGUAAAGCGCGCGUAGGCGGAUUAGAAAGUUGGGGGUGAAAUCCCGGGGCUCAACCCCGGAACUGCCUCCAAAACUGCUAGUCUAGAGUUCGAGAGAGGUGAGUGGAAUUCCGAGUGUAGAGGUGAAAUUCGUAGAUAUUCGGAGGAACACCAGUGGCGAAGGCGGCUCACUGGCUCGAUACUGACGCUGAGGUGCGAAAGUGUGGGGAGCAAACAGGAUUAGAUACCCUGGUAGUCCACACCGUAAACGAUGAAUGCCAGUCGUCGGAUAGUAUACUAUUCGGUGACACACC
rnacentral:rRNA from 1 species